rnacentral:misc_RNA from 1 species
UUCUACGGAGUACACUUGUCUUUUAUCACUAUAAAAAAAAGACUUAUAACCAAAAUUACUAGACCUAUAUUUAUUUAUAAACGUCAUGGCUUUUAUUAAUAGGUCAAAAGCUAUAUAUCUAGUUUUGAGAGAACAUUCUCUCAUAUGUUCUUUGAAAACUGAAUAGUAAAAUAUUUUUCGAUAUUUACAACGACAUCAAAAAUCAAAUUAAUGGUUAAUUUGUUUUGAUUCAUCGAGUAAGUCAUAUUUAAUAUGAUUCAUUGAAAUGUCUUAAAAUACACAUCUAAAACUAACAACAAUAGGAAAAUACUACUUUUAAAUAAGGAAGAGUUUUUGGUGGAUGC